AAACAUUUUAAUACGAUUUGAUUCUUAAGACACCUCUGAGGUGGAGUUGAAGCAGAUUUUAUGUCUGUCUAUUUUACAGCUCAGAAAACCAAGACCUAUACCAAGAAGUCAGCCUGCCGCUAUCACCUAUGUUGUGCUGGACCCAGAAAAGCACUUCCAGAUGUAAAAGGGCAGCGCUAGAGAACCGGAGAGGCCAGCGUGGAGUGGAGUGAGUGCUGUUCACACAAUGGACUCUCCAGCUGAAGAGAGGACAGUUCCCUCCUGACGACCGUGAACACAGCACAGUAAAAUUUGAAGAAAUUCAAGAGGUGCUGGGCACUAGCCACCAAGGAGAAAGGACAAUAAAGGGAUGUGUAAAGUACUCAAGAGAAAAUUGUUGUGUGUUGUUAGUAGUCAAAUUGAAUGAAAAGUCCUGUGAAGUUGAACUUCCCAAAGAAAAGGCAAUGACGUCUGGAGGGGAAUGGAAUCUUUUUAAAUUUUUGUUAUCAACUAGUUGAUUUACAUUUUCCAAUGUUUUAACAUAACAUUUCAAUUAUUUGACUAAUACCUGGCCAUUGUAGAAAAUUUUAAAAAGUACAGCUAAUAUAAAACUAUGGAAAAAUGAACAAAAUAAAAUGAUUAUUUUGUUGCCCCAAAACUAUUAUUCAUAUGCUGACAUAAUUCCCUUAAUCCAUUUUAAUGUGUGUAUAAAUGAUUGUUGCUAUUAUUUUUUAAUAAAAAGGAAAUGAUUUGCAUAUACAGUGGAAAUCUCUAUGUUAGGAAGCAUGUUGAACUUGCAUUGUGAGUUAGCGAGUGACCUGAUUUUGGCUGGACAUGCACUGACGGUAAUGUAAGGAAAACCCAGGCCUAACCUUAAAAACCUUAUUCUAAUAUGAGGAGGGAGUGGAG
rnacentral:lncRNA from 1 species